AGAGUAGAAAUCAGGAGUCCGGAAGCCUUCCGAAGAGUUCGGGUACCUAGCUAUUUAAGGAGGCUAUUUAAGGAGUUGGGAUGAUGACCAAGGGGUCUCUAAGGUCAUGCUCCACCAGAUUGGGGCGCACCCCAUAUGGGUCCCACUUAGGCUAGGGUCCAAGACGAAGUUACGGGCUCAUAGGCCCAUUAUAGAUGACACAAUACCUUGGGCGGAUGACUAAGAUGGAAUUUUAAGAUGAGGUUGGAUCCUUUGGAAAGAGGACUCCGAGAUCUUUCCAUCAAGUAAUCACAGGCCGAAAACAGAGGUUGUAUGCAUAUUUGGCGGCCGUUUGAAGUCAGCAAUGUAGCAGGUGGCCGAAUCAGAUUCCAAAACUCAUGUGGCUUGAUCUUGAUGUCUCCCAGUUGAGCUAUGAUGUGAGCAACGGUUGCAUCAAUAGUGGCUAUGAUCAUAUCAUGACGGUAGGUUAUUUAUGAGUUAUAAGGCAUGGGAUGUUGGCCUUAACAUGGGCUGGCCAGACGAGACUUAAUUACUCCCCAAAGUAGAUUGUCAUAUUGCGAGCAGCUCGAAUGGAAUUUUGACAUCAAUUUCAUGGCAACAGUGAAGCACGUCCGAUCAGGACAGUCUGACUAGGUCUUGUUAAACUUGUUGGGAUUAGCAUGUGUAUCCAAGGAAAAACUUUCCUUGUCAUACAAUUGUUCUAUAUACCACUGGUAUGAAAGGUGAAUGACAUUUAGCAUCAACAUAAUUUUCUUUAUGAAAAAUGUUCUAAAAUGCUAUAGGUAAUAGUAUAUGCAUGUUUUAAUUAUUCCAUCAUAUAGAUAGUCCUAGAAUAUCUAUAGUUCCAUAAAAAAAAAAUUAGAGCGUGACAUUUGUUAUAGAUCUAAUGACCAUAAUACACUGUAAAUAUUGCUUGGGUAGCUUUCUAUUUAUAAAUUGACUAUUUAUUAUGUUAUACAUUUUUAAACUAGAGGUAAAGGCGUAAAUAGUUAUUUUCUAUUUUAUAUAUAUAUAUAUAUAUAUAUAUAUAUGUAUGUAUAUAUGUAUGUAUGUAUGUAUAUAUAUAUGUAUGUAUGUAUGUACUACUACCGGGAGCAACUACUCCCAUCUUAUCUAUGUGGCAGUGCAAAUUUCUGCUAUUUCGGAGUCCCCAUUGGCGUGUUAAUUAGCCAUGUCAUCCAACCCGUUUAGAAUGAUAACCAUUAUUUUCAUGGGAUACAAACAAUUUUGAAUGCAUGUUAGUUCAUCCGCCAGAGGAGCAGAAUAUGGACACUACGAUUGGCAGAAACCAUUUUUUCUCCCAUUGAUGUUCUGUUCCGUUUCCAAAUAAUGUUCUGCUCCUUUCCAAUCGAUGUUCUGUUCCGUUUACAAAUAAUGUUAUGCUCCUUUCCAGUUGAUAUUUUUCUGCUUCUUUUUAAUUUCCUGCCUUUCUUAACGUCUUCUGCUUAGUGACGAUUUUGUUGAAGGAGCAGAAGAUGUGCUUCUGUUCAAAUUAGUUUUCUGCUCCCUUUCUAACCGAUGUUCUGCUCCUUGCCUCCUUUCCUAGGUCACAUACUCCAUACUGCUUCCUUUCAUGUUUCUGCUCAUUUUCAAGUCUUAUAAGCUUCAUAUAGACGAUGAGAUUCAAUUUAACAGGCAGAAGGUAUUCUGCACUUUUUAUUCCUUGUUCUAUGCGUUCUUACAAAUUUGAAAUGACCUGAAUGGACACAACAGACGUCACAAAUUAUGGGCCGGGGAGCAAAAGAUGUUCUGCAAUUGUUUCUGCCGAGUCCUAUGUCUAAUAGUGAAUGGAAUCGGUUUGUGAAAGAGCAGAAGAUAUUCUGUUAUCUCUACCAUCCAUUGAUUCAGGAGGGGGAUUAUAGCUUUCUGCUGCACAAAUUCUGUUAUGCCGUUGUGAUUAAAAAGAGUAUCAUCCCUCAACUCGGCUGUGUUGUACAUCCAUACCAACAGAAACUAUCCUGAGCAAAAUAUAACAUACCUAUUUAAGUAUGUAAACAUAAACUGCAAUUAGUAAUCAAUAGGCAGAAUAUGAACUGCCGUUACAUAGA